rnacentral:lncRNA from 1 species
CUGGUUAGUAGAAAUUUAAUUUCAGAUGAUAGGUUGACACCACAGCCCGGAGAGCGUUAAGGCCAAGUCGGCCAAGAAUUGCAUUGUAGGCUGACGGCGCCUUCACCACCAGAAAAUCCAUCAAAGUCUGGGAUUGUCUUGGAUAUCGACCCGCAGUUACAGCCAAAGUUAUUACCCCCUCCAUCGGGAUAGCAUUGCCGAUAAACCCUAUCAG